UACGUAGGGUGCAAGCGUUGUCCGGAAUUAUUGGGCGUAAAGAGCUCGUAGGCGGUUUGUUGCGUCGGCUGUGAAAUCCCGAGGCUCAACCUCGGGUCUGCAGUCGAUACGAGCAAACUAGAGUGUUGCAGGGGAGACUGGAAUUCCUGGUGUAGCGGUGAAAUGCGCAGAUAUCAGGAGGAACACCGGUGGCGAAAGCGGCUCUCUGGCCCGGUUCUGACGCUGAGGCGCGAAAGCGUGGGGAGCAAACAGG
rnacentral:rRNA from 1 species